UACGGGGGGGGCAAGCGUUGUUCGGAAUUACUGGGCGUAAAGGGCUCGUAGGCGGCCAACUAAGUCGGAUGUGAAAUCCCCAGGCUUAACCUGGGAACUGCAUCCGAUACUGAUUGGCUUGAAUCCGGGAGAGGGAUGCAGAAUUCCAGGUGUAGCGGUGAAAUGCGUAGAUAUCUGGAGGAAUACCGGUGGCGAAGGCGGCAUCCUGGACCGGCAUUGACGCUGAAAAGCGAAAGCUAGGGGAGCAAACGGG
rnacentral:rRNA from 1 species